rnacentral:rRNA from 1 species
CCUACGUGAGGCAGCAGUGAGGAAUAUUGGUCAAUGGACGAGAGUCUGAACCAGCCAAGUAGCGUGAAGGAUGAUUGCCCUAUGGGUUGUAAACUUCUUUUAUAGGGGAAUAAAAUGUUCCACGUGUGGGAUUUUGUAUGUACCAUAUGAAUAAGGAUGGGCUAACUCCGUGCCAGCAGCCGCGGUAAUACGGAGGAUCCGAGGGUGACCCGGAUUGCUUGGGUUUAAAGGGUGCGUAGGUGGUGUGUGAAGGCAGGUGUGAAAGUUUGCGGCUAAACCGUAGAAUUGCAGUUGAAACUGGCAGUCUGGAGUGCAGUAGAGGUGGGCGGAAUUCGUGGUGUAGCGGUGAAAUGCUUAGAUAUCACGAAGAACUCCGAUUGCGAAGGCAGUUCACUGGACUGCAACUGACACUGAGGCUCGAAAGUGUGGGUAUCAAACAGGAUUAGAUACCCGAGUAGUC